rnacentral:rRNA from 1 species
UGGGGGAUAUUGCACAAUGGGCGAAAGCCUGAUGCAGCGACGUCGCGUGGGGGAUGAAGGCCUUCGGGUUGUAAACUUCUUUUGCCCUGAACAAGGCAUGCUAAUGGGUGUGUCGAGUGCAGGGGUUGAUUAGCGCCGGUUAACUACGUGCCAGCAGCCGCGGUAAUACGUAGGGCGCGAGCGUCGUCCGGAAUUAUUGGGCGUAAAGGGCUUGCAGGUGGCUGGUUGCGUGCGUCGUGAAUGCUCAUGGCUUUACUGGGGGUUUGCGGGAGGAACGGACUGGCUUGACAGCAGUAGAGGGGGCUGGGAUUCCUGGUGUAACGGUGGAAUGCGCGGAUAUCCGGCGGAAAACCGGUGGCAAGGGCAGGUCUCUGGGCUGUUACUGACUCUGAGGAGCGAAAGCAAGGGGAGCGAACGGG